rnacentral:tRNA from 1 species
UGAGGUGUCGCCAAGCUGGUCUAAGGCACAGGACCUUGACUCCUGUAUUCGCUGGUUCGAAUCCAGCCACCUCAA